rnacentral:rRNA from 1 species
UACGUAGGGUGCAAGCGUUAUCCGGAAUUAUUGGGCGUAAAGAGCUCGUAGGCGGUUUGUCGCGUCUGCUGUGAAAACUGGAGGCUCAACCUCCAGCCUGCAGUGGGUACGGGCAGACUAGAGUGCGGUAGGGGAGAUUGGAAUUCCUGGUGUAGCGGUGGAAUGCGCAGAUAUCAGGAGGAACACCGAUGGCGGAAGGCAGAUCUCUGGGCCGUAACUGACGCUGAGGAGCGAAAGCAUGGGGAGCGAACAGG